CGGAAUUCGUCCUUCCCGGUCUCCCCACAGAACCAGGCGCCCCGGAAGUAGAUGGAGCACUCUCCGAUGCCUGAAAGGAAAGCGCGACUACUUUGAACACAUUUUCCCAUCUCCUUCACUGCUCCAUGCUCAUGGAUCUUUUGUGUCUGUCUGCAGGAAGCCUGAUGACAGUCGGGCAAACAUUUCGUUUGCUUCCUUAAAGGCAUCUUCUGGUGGGUGCAGGAUCCGAUGGAGGAGUGAUGGGACCUCAGGGCCGUGUCCAGGCUCUUCCGGUCAGUCGGUGGCCUCCACAAACGCCAGCCAGCCAGCCCAGUGCGAGCUUCUGCUUGGCCAACAUGUGGCAGUUAUGAUGCUGCAGUUGGGAGAGGGGGAGCCCGUGGGAAGAAACCCAGUUUCUAGCGCCGAGGGGCUCAGUAUUCCCAAGUCACCUGUGAGAUGAGCUCUGAGCACCUGCCCACACUCCUGAGAUGUAAAACCCCAUCACACGCAGUGGCAGAUGGUUAAGACAACAACCAACCAACUCGUCAGAUAAAAGGUUCACUCCACUUAAAGUGGAUGAUUUUUAAAUUUGUUUGUAAAACCUUUGAUAUUUGGCUACUAAGAAAUUAUAAGAUCCCCGUGGACAGGCAACUAAUUUUCUACCUUUCCUGGUUCUUUAAAAAUAAA
rnacentral:lncRNA from 1 species